rnacentral:rRNA from 1 species
CACGUAGGGUGCGAGCGUUGUCCGGAAUUAUUGGGCGUAAAGAGCUCGUAGGCGGUGUGUCGCGUCGAUCGUGAAAACCUGCAGCUUAACUGUGGGCUUGCGGUCGAUACGGGCAUGACUGGAGUUCGGCAGGGGAGACUGGAAUUCCUGGUGUAGCGGUGAAAUGCGCAGAUAUCAGGAGGAACACCGGUGGCGAAGGCGGGUCUCUGGGCCGAUACUGACGCUGAGGAGCGAAAGCGUGGGGAGCGAACAGG